rnacentral:rRNA from 1 species
UACAGAGGGGGCAAGCGUUGUUCGGAAUUACUGGGCGUAAAGGGCGCGUAGGUGGCCUUCUAAGUUGAACGUGAAAUCCCUGGGCUCAACCCAGGAACUGCGUCCAAGACUGGGAGGCUUGAAUCCGGGAGAGGGAUGCGGAAUUCCAGGUGUAGCGGUGAAAUGCGUAGAUAUCUGGAGGAACACCUGAGGUGAAGACGGGUUGCGGGGCCAACACGGACGCUGAUGCGCGAAAGCCAGGGGAGCAAACGGG